CUCGACCCCGGAGAAGGAGCCUGAGAAACGGCUACUACAUCCAAGGAAGGCAGCAGGCGCGCAAAUUACCCAAUCCCAAUUCGGGGAGGUAGUGACAAUACAUACUGAUACAGGGCUCUUUUGGGUCUUGUAAUUGGAAUGAGUACAAUUUAAAUCCCUUAACGAGGAACAAUUGGAGGGCAAGUCUGGUGCCAGCAGCCGCGGUAAUUCCAGCUCCAAUAGCGUAUAUUAAAGUUGUUGAGGUUAAAAAGCUCGUAGUUGAACCUUGGGCCUGGCUGGCCGGUCCGCCUUACCGCGUGCACUGGUCCGGCCGGGUCUUUCCCUCUGGGGAGCCGCAUGCCCUUUAUUGGAUGUGCCGGGGAACCAGGACUUUUACUCUGAACAAAUCAGAUCGCUUAAAGAAGGCCUAUGCUCGAAUGUUCUAGCAUGGAAUAAUAGAAUAGGACGUGCGGUUCUAUUUUGUUGGUUUCUAGGACCGCCGUAAUGAUUAAUAGGGACAGUCGGGGGCAUCAGUAUUCAAUUGUCAGAGGUGAAAUUCUUGGAUUUAUUGAAGACUAACUACUGCGAAAGCAUUUGUCAAGGAUGUUUUCAUUAAUCAGGAACGAAAGUUAGGGGAUCGAAAACGAUCAGAUACCGUUGUAGUCUUAACCAUAAACUAUGCCGAUUAGGGAUCGGACGGUGUUAUUUUUUGACCCGUUCGGCACCUUACGAAAAAUCAAAAUGUUUGG
rnacentral:rRNA from 1 species